AACGAACGCUGGCGGCGCGCCUAAUACAUGCAAGUCGAGCGAGAAGGUGUAGCAAUACACUUGUAAAGCGGCGAACGGGUGAGGAAUACAUGGGUAAUCUACCAUCGAGUGGAGAAUAACCAGCCGAAAGGUUGGCUAAUACCGCGUACGCCUCCGGAUCUUCGGGUUCGGAGGGAAAGCCACACUGUGAGUGCGGCGCUCUUUGAUGAGCUCAUGUCCUAUCAGCUUGUUGGUAGGGUAACGGCCUACCAAGGCUUUGACGGGUAGCUGGUCUGAGAGGACGAUCAGCCACACUGGAACUGAGACACGGUCCAGACUCCUACGGGAGGCAGCAGUGGGGAAUUUUGCGCAAUGGGCGAAAGCCUGACGCAGCAACGCCGCGUGGGUGAUGAAGGUCUUCGGAUCGUAAAACCCUGUCGUCAGGGACGAAGGUUGUAUGUCUAAUAGAUGUGCAACUUGACGGUACCU
rnacentral:rRNA from 1 species